AUUUUCCAGGCAAGAGUACUGGAGUGGGGUGCCAUUGCCUUCUCCGAGUCCUGUCUCUAGAGGUAUCAUCCUUUAUUUAACCCACUCCUUCAGUGGCAAGCAACUCUUCCACCACCUCUGAAUAUCUUAGUUUGUCAAAAGGUUCUAAUUUCUCUUAUGUGUACAAGGAUGAAUUGAAGGAAAGAUAUAUACUUUUCCACGAAGCAUGUAUAUUGUAAGACUUCACCUUACAGGGGAAGACGACUGACCAAUGAAGAAGAAUUUCAGGCUCCAGAGUAUAUGUAGAAGUCUUCCUCCUCCUUCCCUUCUUUCCUUCCACAGAUAUUUAAUAAGCUUCUAAAUUUUAGGCUUUGUUCUAGAUUCUGAGAAUAUAAAAGAGAAAACAGACAAAGUCCUUCCCCUCAAAAAACUUAACAUCAAUUAUACUGGUAAAUAUGGAGUGUAAACAAACCAUAAAUAAAUACAAUAAAGUAUCAAAUGAGUACUUAUACAAUUUAAAGGCCUAGACAGUGACAAGUGACCAAGAAAGGCUUUUCUCAGGAGGAGACUCUCCAGCCUGGGGAAAGUCAUACAGGAAACCCUGCAUAUAGCUGAAGAAAGGAUGCCAGGCAAAGGGAAGUAUAAGUGCAUAGGUCUUGAGAUAGAGCUUUGAUUGGAACUGUCGUGACCAGCAAGGAUAUCAGUGCUCAGUUAACAAUGAACAAGAGGAGUGCUCCAACAUGAGACUGAGGUUCCAGCCAGGUGUCACAUCACAUAGGACUUGUAAGUCAUAGCGAGGACUUGGGUGUUUGUUCUAACUAUGGUAGCCAGUCAUUGGAAGAUUUUGAUCAGGAGCAUAAAAUGCUCUGACUAAUACUUUAAAAGAUCCCCUUGGAGUACUCUGGACAGAAAACUUACAUUUCCAUUUGAUUUGUACAAAAAUAGAUAAUUUGUUGAAUUGUAAAAGUUCUUUGUAAACAGGGAGUUUCUAGUCAUUUUAAUAAGUAAAUAAUUAACUGUACUGUGGAUACCUUUUUAAGCUUUCAGGAUACAAUGAUGAGACAUAAUCCCUAACCUUGUGGAAUUUAUAAUCUAGUGGUUGAGCUUUAGAAGUAAACAGAUACAUGUAAAUACUGUAGGAAGUUCUAUAAAAAUGGAGAACAUAGUGGGACAUUAAGUCCAGUGGGGAAGCCAUACAAAUUUAGGUGGACCAAGAAAGAAGUAAGAUGUGUUCAUUUAAGCUCUGUCCUUGAGGAUGGGCCAAUUGGGAGGAUGGUGGCAAAGGCUGCCAUAUAAAAUACAGGAUGAACAGUUCCAUUUGAACUUUAUGUUAACAAUGGAUUUUUAAAAAAUAUAAGUGUGUCCUAAAUAUUGCA